UACGGAGGGUGCAAGCGUUGCUCGGAAUUAUUGGGCGUAAAGGGUAGGUAGGUGGUCUCAUUUGUCUGGGGUGAAAUCCUUGAGCUUAACUCAAGAAGUGCCCCAGAAACGGUGGGACUAGAGUCCUGGAGAGGGUCGUGGAAUUCCCGGUGUAGCGGUGAAAUGCGUAGAGAUCGGGAGGAACACCAGAGGCGAAGGCGGCGACCUGGACAGGAACUGACACUCAACUACGAAAGCGUGGGGAGCAAAACAGG
rnacentral:rRNA from 1 species